CCUAAGGUAGCGAAAUUCCUUGUCGGGUAAGUUCCGACCUGCACGAAUGGCAUAAUGAUGGCCAGGCUGUCUCCACCCGAGACUCAGUGAAAUUGAAAUCGCCGUGAAGAUGCGGUGUACCCGCGGCUAGACGGAAAGACCCCGUGAACCUUUACUAUAGCUUGACACUGAACAUUGAAUUUUGAUGUGUAGGAUAGGUGGGAGACUUAGAAGAUGAUACGCCAGUAUUGUUGGAGUCGUCCUUGAAAUACCACCCUUUAACGUUUGAUGUUCUAACGAAGAUUACGAAACGUGGUCUCGGACAGUGUCUGGUGGGUAGUUUGACUGGGGCGGUCUCCUCCCAAAGAGUAACGGAGGAGCACGAAGGUUUGCUAAUGACGGUCGGACAUCGUCAGGUUAGUGCAAUGGUAUAAGCAAGCUUAACUGCGAGACAGACAAGUCGAGCAGGUACGAAAGUAGGUCAUAGUGAUCCGGUGGUUCUGAAUGGAAGGGCCAUCGCUCAACGGAUAAAAGGUACUCCGGGGAUAACAGGCUGAUACCGCCCAAGAGUUCAUAUCGACGGCGGUGUUUGGCACCUCGAUGUCGGCUCAUCACAUCCUGGGGCUGAAGUAGGUCCCAAGGGUAUGGCUGUUCGCCAUUUAAAGUGGUACGCGAGCUGGGUUUAGAACGUCGUGAGACAGUUCGGUCCCUAUCUGCCGUGGGCGUUGGAGAAUUGAUUGGGGCUGCUCCUAGUACGAGAGGACCGGAGUGGACGCACCACUGGUGUUCCGGUUGUGUCGCCAGACGCAUUGCCGGGUAGCUAAGUGCGGAAGAGAUAAGUGCUGAAAGCAUCUAAGCACGAAACUUGCCAAGAGAUGAGUUCUCCCAGAUUUAAAAUCUGUAAGGGUUGUUUAAGACUAAGACGUAGAUAGGUCUGGUGUGUAAGCGGUGCGAGCCGUUGAGCUAACAGAUACUAAUUGCCCGAGAGGCUUAACUAU
rnacentral:rRNA from 1 species